rnacentral:rRNA from 1 species
AUUGAACGCUGGCGGCAGGCCUAACACAUGCAAGUCGAGCGGAUGACGGGAGCUUGCUCCUUGAUUCAGCGGCGGACGGGUGAGUAAUGCCUAGGAAUCUGCCUGGUAGUGGGGGACAACGUUUCGAAAGGAACGCUAAUACCGCAUACGUCCUACGGGAGAAAGCAGGGGACCUUCGGGCCUUGCGCUAUCAGAUGGGCCUAGGUCGGAUUAGCUAGUAGGUGAGGUAAUGGCUCACCUAGGCGACGAUCCGUAACUGGUCUGAGAGGAUGAUCAGUCACACUGGAACUGAGACACGGUCCAGACUCCUACGGGAGGCAGCAGUGGGGAAUAUUGGACAAUGGGCGAAAGCCUGAUCCAGCCAUGCCGCGUGUGUGAAGAAGGUCUUCGGAUUGUAAAGCACUUUAAGUUGGGAGGAAGGGCAGUAAGUUAAUACCUUGCUGUUUUGACGUUACCGACAGAAUAAGCACCGGCUAACUCUGUGCCAGCCGCCGCGGUAAGAC